CAAAAGACACAGUGAUCACAUUACUUUGGUUCCACAAUAAAAGCGUGCAGCAUGCGUUGCAAUACACUGUUCGAUAACAUGAAUUAUUAUUGUUGAUAUUCUUAAGAUUAAUACAAAAAUACAGUACAAAGAAGAAGAAAUAAUUCUAACUUUGAUUUGUGACGCUAAUCUAUGCCAAACUUUUACAUUUUUUAUUUAUGUCAACUUCACCUCAUGAAGCAGCAAGAAACAGGUUUUACACGUCAGGACCACCCUCUCUAACGUGCCCCAGAUGUCGGUGGAAUCUGCUCCUGACACAAGUUACACGCAGGCCUGUCCAGAACAUCAGAAUUCCAGGAUACUGCACAACUGUAUGCUAGUAAAGAGCAGCACAUCUGGAGAAUGAUGAGAGAAGUGGGAAUACCCGGAAUUCCUACUGGGUGACAGGAAGAGGCAGGAUACUGA